rnacentral:lncRNA from 1 species
CUCAUUCACCUUUUAACAUUAUUAUUAUUUCUCUCUCGAGUCAACCUAAGCACACGACAAAUUUUAUAUCUUGACUAUCUAAACACUGACUAAGAUGCAUCAUGCAUGGUACUAAGGAUAAUACACUAAAUCUAAAUCAAGUUCAAAUUCAGAAAUUGAAUGAAUAUUUUCUUCUUUUUUUUUUUUGGUUUGGAUUACGAUAAAUUAAAGAAUAUGAUUUUGUUACUUUAUAAGGAAUAGCUCAAAUUUUGUUAGAUACAUACAUGCUUUUUGCUUAACAUGCAUCAACACAAUAAUUAUGAUUUGUGCAUGCAUUGUAGCGUGAUGACCAUAUUCUUUGCAAGUCGUUCCGUC